rnacentral:snRNA from 1 species
UUACUUACCUGGACGGGGUCAAUGGGCGAUCAAGAAGGUCCAUGGCCUAGGUUGGUGACCUCCAUUGCACUCAGGAGGGGUGCCCGCCUAAGGUCGGCCCAAGUGGUCGAGCCUACGUCAUAAUUUGUGGCAGUGGGGACUUGCGUUCGCGCAGCCCCGCA